rnacentral:rRNA from 1 species
GGUGCGUGAAUUUUUGCGACAAUCGGAGCGCAAGCCUGAUCCAGCCAUGCCGCGUGAGUGAAGAAGGCCUUCGGGUUGUAAAGCUCUUUCGGCCGGGAAGAAUCGAGGGCUCUAACAUAGGACAUGCCUGACGGUUCCGUGCCAAGAAGCCCCGGCUUACUACGUGCCAGCAGCCGCGGUAAUUA